AAAAAGAAGCUUUUAGCGGCUCUGACCAGUUGUAAGCUUGGGACCGAAGACGUCACGUCUUCGGUUCUAAGCUUACAACUGGUCAGAGCCGAUAAAAGCUU
rnacentral:pre_miRNA from 1 species